rnacentral:tRNA from 1 species
GCCUGGGUGGUGGAAUUGGUAGACACCCGGGACUUAAAAUCCCGUUCCCGCAAGGGAGUACCGGUUCGAUUCCGGUCCUAGGUACCA